AUGAGAGAGAGCACAUGAGAGUGGGGAGGGCCAGAGGGAGAAGUAGACUCCCCGCCGAGCAGGGAGCCCGACGCGGGACUCGAUCCAGGGACUCCAGGAUCAUGACCUGAGCCGAAGGCGGUCGCUUAACCAACUGAGCCACCCAGGCGCCCACAACAGCAGUUCUUAACCUGGGGCAGUUUUGUCCCCAAGGGACAUUUGUGGGGACCAGAUUGUGGACCAGUUCUGGGCCAUGUGUGAUCUCUGCUUUCCCUCUUUCCAUCCCUUUCUUGUUUGGAGUGGAUAACCUGGAAAGCAAGAUAUUAAAAACUGUGGGUAUGAUCUGUUUGCAUGAAACUGAGAGACACGCCAUUGCAUCUGUGGAGUGCUAGUACUUCCAAGCUGCCUCAAGUCUGUUUGAAUGAAGGGAAAGGGGUGAGAAAGACUUCUAAAGCCCAAGUUGGCAACUAUUUUAAGAAGAGGUCAAACAAGGAGGCUGAAGCUGCAAAAGAUUGUUGCUGUUUUGCUUAAAGCUACUAGUUAUCAGCUAAAUGUUCCUAUGAAGCUCACCUUCUCAGAUGCCUGUGAGGCCCCUUGCAUCCUUGCAAUAAUCCCAUUCAGUUUGGUCUGGCUUCAGGGCAUCUCUACUCUUUGCAGAGAAAGUGCAAUGGCCAAGCAGAAAACAGGCAGUUGCCAACUUGUGCGAAGUGCUGGGAUGGGACGAUUUAUGUUGUCUGCUGAGAACUGAAGAUAAGAAAUAAGCCAAGUUAUUGGCAACAUUUCCCAUGGGUUCCACUUGAGCGAGAACGAAUCAUUCAUUGGAUGUUCAUGGCAACCACCACCACCAACCUUGCUGCUUUUAGAAAUGGAAAAAAAAAGUUUGUUAUACUGCCGCUGCAGGAAAUAAUAAAG